ensembl:lincRNA 4930599A14Rik RIKEN cDNA 4930599A14 gene
GGUAGUAUGAUGGAAUUAUUGGGAGAUGCUCAAAGGGAAGAGGUUUGUGAACCCAGGAAGUUAUUGCUGGCUGUGUACCCUUGAAAAUGCAUCUUUCAUGGCUUCUUCUUGUCCUACCCCCUUCUCUGCUUCCUGUCAGUUAUGGUGUGAACAGCUCUCUUCUGCCAUGCCAUCUCCAAUGAUGGUGCAAAUCAUGUGAAACUGUAAGCUAAAGUGGUACUUGUCUGCAAGCCAAAACUGAGUCUGAUGGAUGUGCCCAGGAAGCUGAGAUCUAGGAGAAACUUGGUAUCCCUUAGUUGGCAGAUGGACCAGUUAAGAUUCAUUUGAUUACACAUAAUAGAUACUCAAGUAAUGAUGUGUUGAGCAAUAAAGUGUGUGAUCAUUUGG